CCCUUAGAUGUUCUGGGCUGCACACGUGCUACACUGGCAGGUUCAGCGAGCUUCAUGCCCUGAUCUGAAAGGAAUGGGAAAUCUUUUCAAAACCUGCCGUGCUUGGAAUAGAUGUUUGCAAUUAUUCAUCUUCAACGAGGAUUGCCUUGUAAGCGCACGUCAUCAGCGUGCAUUGAAUACGACCCUGUAUUCUGUACACACCGCCCGUCGCUCCUACCGAUUGAAGUUUUCGGUGAGUUGACAGGAGGAUUUUUUUGAAACUGGUUCGCCAGUGGAUUUUAGAUCCAAAUGCCAACGAAUCGAUGGCUUUAGAGGAAGGAGAAGUCGUAACA
rnacentral:rRNA from 1 species